UGGUGGGAUCUCGCUCUCCGCCCUUGGACGUCCACAAGACUCCGGCUGCAGUAAACAAGGACUUUUGCUCGUUCACCCGCUGGAGCCAAGUUGUAUUCCAAGGAAUUACAAAAUGUAGA